AGCAGCCGCGGUAAUUCCAGCUCCAAUAGCGUAUAUUAAAGUUGUUGCAGUUAAAAAGCUCGUAGUUGAAUUUCGGGAUCAAAGGAUCGGUCAUGCCUUGGUAUGUACUGGUUUUAUUGGUUCUCACCUUCUAAAGAACCAUAAUGUCAUUCAUUUGAUGUUAUGGGGAAUUAGGACUGUUACCUUGAAAAAUUAGAGUGUUUAAAGCAGGCUUACGCUUGAAUACAUUAGCAUGGAAUAAUGAAAUAGGACAUCAGAUUCUAUUUUGUUGGUUUCUAGGAUCGAUGUAAUGAUUAAUAGGGAUAGUUGGGGGCAUUAGUAUUCAAUUGCCAGAGGUGAAAUUCUUGGAUUUAUUGAAGACUAACUACUGCGAAAGCAUUUGCCAAGGAUGUUUUCAUUAAUCAAGAACGAAAGUUAGGGGAUCGAAGACGAUCAGAUACCGUCGUAGUCUUAACCAUAAACUAUGCCGACUAGGGAUCGGACGAUGUUAAUUUUAUAAUGACUCAUUCC
rnacentral:misc_RNA from 1 species